rnacentral:rRNA from 1 species
UUGUCUCUCUUGAGUGGAUCCUGAGUACGACGGAGCACGUGAAAUUCCGUCGGAAUCUGGGAGGACCAUCUCCUAAGGCUAAAUACUCUCUAGUGACCGAUAGUGAACCAGUACCGUGAGGGAAAGGUGAAAAGCACCCCGGAAGGGGAGUGAAAUAGAACCUGAAACCGUGUGCUUACAAGUAGUCAGAGCCCGUUAAUGGGUGAUGGCGUGCCUUUUGUAGAAUGAACCGGCGAGUUACGAUUUGAUGCAAGGUUAAGCAGUAAAUGUGGAGCCGUAGCGAAAGCGAGUCUGAAUAGGGCGUUUAGUAUUUGGUCGUAGACCCGAAACCAGGUGAUCUACCCUUGGUCAGGUUGAAGUUCAGGUAA